rnacentral:lncRNA from 1 species
GAUUUAUAAGAUUUUUUCAUGUCUAUAUAUUUCUUAUUCUAAUUAGCUUAACCAUAAGCUAGGCUUGAAUUUAACAGGGGAAGAAAAUAGGAAGAACAAGUUUUUGGUGAAGUGAAGAAACAAUAUGAUAUUGAUAGGUUACCUCGUACCCAUCAUCCUUGUGGUGGGCAUGAUCAUCUUGACUUUUGUAUGGAUAUGGUGUGGCUGCGAGCGGACACGAGUGACGCCUAAUUCUUAAGCUGUAGAACUUUUCUAUUAUCAAUGCAUCAAGACUGUUUUCUUACAAUAUGAUUAAUUAAUCUAUUAGUAAGCAAUAGAAUAGCCUAUGUAUUGAUAUUGUGACGCUGCAAUGUUUUUUUUAUCAUUCAACAAUUAAAAGUUUUGUUUAUGUUCCUUUUGAUCUACAUAUUUUGUUGAUAUACUAUUAUGCUACACGAUUUUUGUGUGUGGUAAAUUUUAAGAUUUAUCACGCGAUUAAUAAUUUACUAAUGGUGAAUGCUAAUAUCUUAGAGAAAAUCAUGAGUAUGAUCCACAAAAGAAUUUUAAUUUGACGACCAAAUCAACAUUGAUCCAGUAUAGGCUCCAGAUUUUUCAGCGUAUUAAACAAAAAUAAUUUAAUAAAAAACAAAAAGUAAUAAGGUAAAAAAAAUUAUUGAAUCUAUACUAUUAUUUGCAAAAUAAUUUUUUACUAAGUUUUUACUUUAAAAUUUAAGGUGGCUAGUGACUAAAUUUUUAGUGGUCUUAAUGAAUAAUUAGAUUUUGGUAAUAUAUAACUAACCAUAAACUAAAAGAAAAUUCAUUGAUAUGAUAUUUAUCAUUAUCUAAAAAUAGUUUAUAUUGUGUUACAAAAUCUUUAUACACUUUAAUAAAUAAUUAAAUUAGUUAAUAUAUAAUUAACUAUACACUAAAAAUGAAUUUAAGUGACUUGAUGAUUAUCAUUAUAUAAAAAUAUUUUAUAUUAUGCUAUAGAAAAAUUAUUUUACAUCAUAUAUAGAAAAAAAGAAAUAAAUAUCAGAGGAACCUGUGGAAAAACAAAGGCAAUCUUCAAAGAAAGAAGACAUGGAACAGAAUCUGUCUAAGGACCAGUCAUGUCUGGAAGACAAACAACACUAUGAAUCUCUUAAGGCAGAUGAAAAUGAAGCUAUAGAGUUAGAAAAGGAAGAUGAUAGUUCCUCUUUAUCUGCUAAACUUGGAGCCAAAGAUGAGCUAACUAUCAAAAAGUUAGCAGCUAUGGGACAGAACUUGUGGCCUAUGGCCAAUGAGAUUGAAGCUAUGGAGUCCGAAAAGGAAGAUGCUGAUUCAUCUUUCAAAACAAUAGAUACAGAAAUGACUUUAUCUGCUAAACAUGAAGACGAAGUUGAGCUAACUUUAAACAAGUUAGAAGAAGCACAUGAGACUAAUCAAUAUGUGGAGAAGGAAGAAACAAACCCUAGCUUGUCUCCCAAGAAAGAAGACACACAACAGUCAGGGCAACAUGUACAAGUCCAUGGAGGCUCUGAUCAAGAUGAGACUACAUACGAGGCUCUUAAAAACAAGGUGAAGGAGAUGCAGAAGACAAUUGAAUACUUUAUGAGCAUGCACUCAGCAGAAGAGAAUCAGUCUCCAUCUUUUAACACAAUAAGUGUCAACACCAGUCCAGGAGAUAGCUUGAAGAUGAUGAGAAGAAGCCGAAGCUGCCGAGAAAACCUCUUGUUCACAAAGGCUGUUGCAGCUGCUGCUAGCGGACGCUUCACAUUCAACACAUCUAACAACGCAUCCUUUGAUUUAGACAACACUCUCUCCACCGAUGCACAGAGCACCAAAGAUUCAGAUACUGAGACUAGCGGUGGUAGCUUCCAUGAGUUUAUGGCGGGGCUUAAACAGAUGGCGAUGCAGCAUCAUUCAAGGCAUGAGUCUGAAACUGAAGCAGAGAAGACAAAGCCCGAAAGGGACACAAAGGCAGAGUUUGAGAGACAGCAAAGCCAGAUAAUUGAGCUCUGGGGGGUUUGUAAUGUACCUCUGGUUCACAGAACAUACUUCUUCUUGCUCUUCAAAGGCGAUCCAUCAGACUUUGUCUACAUGGAAGUGGAGCUAAGGAGGCUAUCUUUCCUCAAGGACUCGCAGGAGAUUGUGAGGAAACAAAGUGCUAAAACGCUGGGGCGAGAGAGAGAAUGGUUGGCUAAGCAAAUACCGAAGAAGUUUGGAAGAAAGGAGAGAGAAGGAGUUUACAAGAAAUGGGGUGUUGAGUUGAGUUCAAAGCAGAGGAGCAUGCAAGUGACACACAAGGCAUGGACCAAGACCAAAGACGUGGAUCAUUGCAAAGAGAGUGCUUCUCUUGUGGCUACUUUGGUUGGAUUUGAUGAAUCAAACAUGACGCCAAAGGAGAUGUUUGGACUUAGCUUCUCACCUACAACAACACUCGACGUUAAAUCAUCUGGCUGGAGUUUUUCUAACUCUUUCUCUCGUAUUAGCUUGACCGGUGGAUUAUAAAAGAACCAUUUUAUUUUAUUUUUUUAAUUCUCUUUGUGUUUGUGUAAACAGUUAAAAGUGAAGAGGUGUGCAAGAUAUGUAUCACUCACAUUAUUUGCUAUUGCUAGACCUAUUCUUUGUCGUCGACUUAUUUAAUUUGUUCAGUAUCGCAUUGAUAUAAACUUAAUAAAACAAAAAAAAACUUAAUAAAACCAAUCGAAUUAUAAAUGUUUUGUUUUCGUUAAAUGAUAUUCUAACUCUGUUCUACAUAUUUAGUUGUUAUUUGUUAUACAUUAUACAACACGGUUAAUACUAUACUAAUGGUGAAUGCUGAUAUCUUACAGAAAAUCAUGAGUAUGAUCAACAAAAUAAUUCUAACUAUUGUUAAGAUCCGAGUCUUAUGCAGAUGAACAUUAUAUAUAUAAAUUAUUUUACGUGUAUAUAUUUUUUACAUAUUAUGAAAUAAUAAUAAAAAGUUUGGAACUAUUAUGUUUAUAAUUAAAUAAUUGGUGCGAACAUAUAAAUAAAAUGGAAUUUUCAUGUUUACCAUUUUCUCAAUACUAUUAUUCAUGUUUACUACCACUAAAGAGACAUUUUCAAAAACACAUUUUUCAUUAAUUGGCAAAAGACUCUUAUACUCUUGUUCUAUAUAUAUAUCUUUUAAUCUUAAAACUUAUUAAAUGAGACUUUCUACUAAUACGAUUUUGUAAUCAUUUGUAUAUUUUCAUAACAAAAAUUUUAAACUAUGGAUCACAAAAUUUAAAUGUGAGAUUUUUAAAAUUUAUAGUAAUUUAUAGUCAUUUUAAAAAAUUCAAUACAUAACAUAUACAGAAAAAAUAUAAAUUUUUAUUAUCCAGUUAAUAUGCUUGUUUAAUUUAUUUUAAUAGUUUCAAAUUAAACAGAUAUGAUAAAAAUAUAUUUUAUCAAAUAUUUACUAUUUAAAAUUAUUAAUUUUCAUAUAUAUUUUAGUCAUAUUAGGCAGUUACAUAUAUUGCCUAAUCAUUAGAAAAUCUAAAGACUUCCUCCUUUCCAAGGGAGAUUCAAAAGAUUUAUAAGAUUUUUUCAUGUCUAUAUAUUUUUUAUUCUAAUUAGCUUAACCAUAAGCUAAGCUUGAAUUUAGUAGGGGAAGAAAAUAGGAAGAACAAGUUUUUGGUGAAGUGAAGAAACAGUAUGAUAUUGAUAGGUUACCUCGUACCCAUCAUCCUUGUGGUGGGCAUGAUCAUCUUUACUUUUGUAUGGAAAUGGUGUGGCUGCGAGCGGACACGAGUGACGCCUAAUUCUUAACCUGUGUAACUUUUCUAUAUCAAUACAUCAACUAUUUUCUUACAAUAUGAUGAAUUUAGAGAUUAGUAAGCGAUAGAAUAACAUCUAUCUUAUUAAAAUAAAAGUACAAUAAGAAAUACUCCUAAAACUUAUAACUUAUUUACAAAGCAAUGCCACUGAAGUAAUAAAUAAACUUAAAUCUAAAUUAAUUUUUUUCCUAAAUUUAUUCCACAACAAAUUCAUGAUAAAUAUUACACUUAAUGCCCAUUAAUACUAUAUUAAAUAACUUCUUUCCAUAAAAUUGUGGGUAUUAUCCUCUAUUAAAUAAUGUUUAUUACAUUUUUUAAAAUUUUAUUAUUAAUGAUAUCAAUUAACAAUAUUUAAAAAAUUUAAAAGAUAUGCCGUAUUUGAGAAUAAAAACUUAAUAAUGAGAAAAUAUUUAAAAAGAUCUAUUUUACUUGAUAAUUCUAAAUUUGGACCUAAUUGACUUUUUUAAAUAAUCAAUUUGACUAAUCUAUUUAAUUAACGAUAUUGUUUUAGAUAUAUAUAACUAAAAUGCUAUUAGAAAAUUAUUUUUAAAUUAUGUAUGAUAUUACAUAUGUUCAAUUGAAUCUUACCUUAAAUUAUUUUUCUUUAGUAAGGCUUUGAAAUAUUAGAUAUGGUAAUAACAUGUACAUUUAAGUAUUAGUAUUAAAAAAAUUAAAAACACCUAAGAUUUUUCUUAUGAGAAAAUUGUAAAAGGAAAAGUUUCAAAAGAAUAUUCUUCAAGUUUUGUACGUAAAGAAAAACAUUUAGACAAGAUAACAAUGUUCUAAAAAACGAAAAAAAGUUCAUAUAAAAUAAAAAUAUUACAUACAAUAAAAUGUUAAAGUCAAUAAGUUAAAAUAAAAUUAAUUUGAUAAUAAUAUAAAUACAAGAAAUGCAAUUACUCAUUCUAACAAAUUACUCAUUUUAAUAAGUAUAAUAUAAAUAUUUUAGUGUUAAAAAUGGAUGACGAAUAUUUAUAUAUCGGGUUGAGAAAUUAAAAAUUAAGACUACUUAUAUAACGGGUUGGAAAUUUAAAUAUAGUUAUCAUUUAUGACCAAAAACCUAUCAAAACAUCUCAAAUAUUGUUUUUACAUAUAUAUUUUAGUUUAUGGAAAACACACACAUAAACUAAAAAUAAACUAAAAAUAUAUAUUUUAAUUAUUAUGCGUAAUGUCAUAAUAAAAAAUACAUAAUACGUGAAAAAUAAAUAUAUAUUAUAUUACUUAUAGAAAACAAAAGUAUAUUUCUAAAAAAUGAAAAAUUGGUUUCUUUUUUUUAUUGGGAACCCAAAUGUUGUAAAUAAUUCUUUCCAACGUGUAUCAAACGUUUUUACAUAUAUAUUUUAGUUUAUGGAAAACACACACAUAAACUAAAAAUAAACUAAAAAUAUAUAUUUUAAUUAUUAUGCGUAAUGUCAUAAUAAAAAAUACAUAAUACGUGAAAAAUAAAUAUAUAUUAUAUUACUUAUAGAAAACAAAAGUAUAUUUCUAAAAAAUGAAAAAUUGGUUUCUUUUUUUUAUUGGGAACCCAAAUGUUGUAAAUAAUUCUUUCCAACGUGUAUCAAACCUGACCAAUGAAAGGCUACUAGCAUUUCCUUUACCACUAGCCAACUCAAUAUCGGAUAAAUAAAAAUGAUAUCGGUCAAAUAAAAACAAAUAUUCGUGUGAUAUUUACAUUUACAGUUAUAUAAAUCAUUUUACUUUUACUAUUAGUGGAAUUAUGUAACAUCAAUAUAUGUAUUAUGUGAUGUAUUUUUGUCACCAUUUUAUUAUCAUUUUUAUAGUUUAUAUAAUGGUGUAAGAAAUAUUUAGUUACAUUACGUAAACAAAAAAAACCCGCCCGGUCGGGCGGAUCCAGCUCUAGUAUGUAUUGAUAUUGUGACGCUGCAAUGUUUUUUUUAUCAUCAAUCUAUACUAUUAAAAGAGAAGUACAAAAAUAAAAUAGGGGAAAUUACAUGUUUACCACUUUUCAUUUUUACCACCACUAAAGGGACAUUCUCAAAAAUACAUUCUCCACUAAGCGGCAAAAGAAUCUUAUGCCAUUGUUCUUUAUAUAUAUAAUAAAUAAAAAUUUAAAUAAAUAAAAAUUUAAAUAAAUAAAAAUCUAAAAAAAUAAAAAAUAACUUUUUUUCAAAUAAUACCAUUUCGAAAUUCAAACCCUAAACUAGGGGUGUUCAAUCCGGAUAUCGGUUCGGUUUAGGUUCGGUUUUUUCGGUAUUUAGGUUAGUAAAAUAUAACUACCGUUUUAAAUCCAUAUUUACUUCGGUUCGGUUCGGUUUAUAUACCGUCGGUUUUCGGUUUAUUCGGUUUUAUACCAAAAAACAUAAUUAUUUAGUUUGAGAUCAUAUUAUAUGAAUUUUAGAGUCAUAUUGUCAACACAGUCAUUUAUUAAAAAUAUAUUACAUGUUCAAAUAAAUGAACAAAAACGUAAAAAUGCUUCUACCAUCAAAUAAAAUCAUCAAAUCUAUAAUUAAAAUCAGAGCCUGAAAUUUUGAAAAUAAAAAUAUGAAACAAAACAGAAACAUGAAAGAAAAGUUUUUUCACUCUUCCAUAUUUAUUGUUCAUAAAGUCAUGCUUUUUCAAUCGAACACGAAACUCUGUUUGUUUACAGAUAAGAAAAAAGUUGUGAAAAUUUUUCAUUAAUUAUUGUCCAUCAAAUUUAUAAUUUUCAUAUUAAUUUAGUGAAGACUAAAAUAAAGCAAAAAGAUCAAAAGAAAACUUAGAAAAUAAGAUGUCUGAAUUGCGAUGUAUUGUUAUUUAGUUAUAGUUCAAGUGUUUUACAAAUUAAGGUUUUUUAUUACUAUAAAAUUAUGGUAAUAGUUAUUAACACAAAUUUAACUUAUGUAACAAAUAGAUUUUCAUGUAUUGUUAUAAAAUAGAUACAUAUUUACAUGUUUCUACUUUUAAUCGGUUUUGUUCGGUUUAUUCGGUUUAAUCGGUUAUAUACCAAACCAUAUCCAAAUCCUACGGUUUUUAUAAAAUUAUAUCCAUUCGGUUUAUAUGGUAUAUACCAAAACCAAACCAUAUUGUCUAUUUCGGUUCGGUACGGUUCGGUUUUACCAUAUUGAACAGCCCUACCCUAAACCCUAAAACUAAACUCUAAACCCUAAACCAUCAAUCCUAAACCCUAUUUUUUCGAUAUACGAACCCUAAACCCUAAACCAUCAAUCCAAAACCCUAUUUUUUUUAAAUACGAACCCUAAACCCUGAAACAUCAACUCUAAACCCUAAACCCCGAAACCUUCAACUCUAAACCCUAAAACAUCAACUCUAAACCCUAAACCCUAAACUUCAACUCUAAACCCUAAACCAUCAACACUAAACCCUAAACCCUAAAAAGUAAACUCUAAACCCUAAACCCUAAAAAAUUUAAACUAAACCAUAAAACAUCAACUCUAAACCCUAAACCCUAAACCCUAAACCUUCAACCCUAAACCCUAAACCCUAAAUCCUAAACCCUAAAAUCCUAGAGUUGAUGUUUUAGGGUUAAGAUUUGAAGGUUUUGGGUUUAGGGUUUACGUUUAGGGUUUAGAGUUGAUGUUUUAGGGUUUAUAUUUGAUGGUUUAGUGUUUAGGGUUUAGAGUUGAUGUUUCGGGGUUUAGGGUUUAGAGUUGAUGUUUCAUUGUUUAGGGUUUAGAGUUGAUGAUUUAGGGUUUAAAGUUGAUGUUUUAGGUUUAGAUUUAGGGUUUAGGGUUUACGUUUAGGGUUUAGAGUUGAUGUUUUAGAGUUUAGAUUUGAAAGUUUAGGGUUUAGGGUUUAGGGUUUAGAGUUGAUGUUUUAAGUUUAGAUUAGUUAUUUUUUGUCAAAGUUAAUCAAAAUGUUAUAAAUGUCUUUUACCCUUCAUUAAAGAUGAGGAUAAAAGUGGUUAGUGUAAACAUGAAAAGUGGUACUUUGAAAAUGGUAUUUUUGGCAAUUUCCCAAUAAAAUACCCCUUAAUUUUUUAACUUAUUUACGAUAGCAUGUCACUGAAAUUAUUAAUUAACUUACCUUUUAUGAUUCUUUGUCUUUUCUUCUUUAUUUAAUGUAUUUCAUUUAUUUAUAAAAAAUAAAAAUAAACAUCCGCGCUGGCGCGCGGAUCAAGCUCUAGUUCAACAAUUAAAAGUUUUGUUUUUGUUCCUUUCGAUCUACAUAUUUUGUUGUCAUACUAUUAUGCUACACGAUUUUUGUGUGUGGUAAAAUGUUAAGAUUUAUCACGCGAUUAAUCGUAUACUAGUGGUGAAUGCAAAUAUCUUAGAGAAAAUCAUGAGUAUGAUCCACAAAAGAACUUUAAUUUGACGAUCAAAUCAACAUUGCUCCAGAUUUUUCAGCGUAUUAAACGAAAAAUAAUUUAAUAAAAACCAAAAAGUAAAAUGGUAAAAAAUGAUUAUUGAAUUUAUACUAUUAUUUGCAAAAUGAUUUUUUACUGAGUUUUCACUUUAAAAGUUAAAGUGGCUCGUGACUAAGUUUUUAGUGGUCUUAAUGAAUAAUUAGAUCUUGGUAAUAUAUAAUUACUUGGUACCUGUUCGGAACUACGCUAGGCGCUAGUCGGUUGGUGAUCCCGGGCCUAUCGAGUUACCGAAAAAUCGGGGAUUAAUCAGGGUAUACGCGGAGAUUAGUUUUUAUUAAUUUUUAAUUAUAAAUAUAUGUAUAUAUAUUAAUACAUGUGAAAAUUAGACAAUGGAACAACGUAGGCCAGUCGUACGAGAGUCAUUUGUUGCGGAUAGAGGUCCAGGGUACGAUUUUCUUGUUUUUAACUGCGCGAGACAGGAAAAAAAAAAUUUAGAAACCAACUGCAUUUGUCCCACAUCGACUAAUUUUACUCUAGGAGGCAUCUUGAGUCUUCCAUAAAUACAAGGAGAAAGUCUCCACUCUUUACUGGGCCUCUUCCAUGGCCCAAUUAUUUGUCACCAGAGUCCAAAGUUAAUUGAAUAAAUCGGUUUAUGUCCGAGUAGUCGGCGAUUAAUCGGUUUUUUAGACGAUUAAUUGGGUCUCCGAUCAGUUAAACCGAUUAGGGUAAAAUCGAGGCGGACCAAGUUGGUAUUAUGCCGUGGUAAGCUAAAGGGGGUAGGGUAUCUCUCUCGAAAAUAAUCUUCCCUCGACCACAAUCAAGGUGAGCUUGGUACCUUGACAGUCAAUCCAUCCCUAAAAUUACCUCGUACCUCUCUAAUGGGAGAACUAACAAAUGAGCCGGGAAAACCAUAUCUUGGAUAAUGAUUGGAACUCUUAGAAUGCAGCAUUCAGUUUCAACAUGACACAGCUGGCUACAAGUGAAACAAGUCGGGGUUCUAGGUCUAGGACCUCCAGAACGACCUCCCCGAAAAACUCUACCUCCUCGUCCUCGCGGCAUAGCAGAAUGUGGCUGAGGCUGACUUUGAACAGAUGGACGUCUAGGUGGUGUCGAAUGUCUAGAAGAAGCUCUAUCAGCAGCAAUGGCCUCCUCAACGUUCACAGCACGCUCAACAAGAUCAGCAAGCCAAUGAAACUCUACGGCCUCAAGUUUGCUCCUGAUAUAUGGGUUAAGUCCUCGAAGGAACUUACGGAUAAUCAUCAGCUCGUCCUCCCGACCAUAGUGGACAUACUUCAUGAGACGGGUGAACUCUGCCUCAUACUUCCUAACAGAGAAUCCGCCCUGAACUAGCGCCAUGAACUUAAUCUCCAAUCGAUCACGGGCCUCCGGUGGGAAGUACUUUCAAACGAACGCUGUACGGAAGUCAUCCCAACUCAGAUCGAAGUUUCAAAAGUUCCUCUCUACGCAUAACCACCAACUGAUGGUGUCCUUCUCUAGAUAGUAAACAGCCAUGUGCUUCUUGAAUUCUUCCGGACAACGAGUUGCAGCAAAGUUCUGCUCGAGAUUGUGCAGCCACGCAUCAGCUUCAAAGGGAUCAGUGCCUCCCUGGUAAUGCUUUGUCCCCAAGUUCUUCGUAAUCAUGACUAUCUUCAGGAAGUCCGAAUGAGAAGUGGUAGGUACUGGAGCUGGCUGAGCACACUAUGUAUCACGUUGUGCAUUCGGUGCUUGAUGUUUCAAAUUCACCAUCUCAGCCAUCAGUUCUAGAAGUGCUACUAUAGCUGGAUCUGUCGGCAGUGGUUCAGGUUGUGCUGCCGGAAUAGGUGCGGUAGGGGCUGGUGGAAUAUGAGCGGCAUGAGAUGCAGGAGCUGCGGGAUGAUCUCCGUGCACUGGACUAUCGUGUACCACAUCCACCUCGAUGUCCAAAAAGUACGUGUCUGGAGACAGUGGCAUGUGCACCGGUGUCUAAUUAUAUGACCCUUCAGACGGGUCAGUCUCAAAGCUAAAGCCCGAAGGUGUAGCCUCAAAGCUAGAGCCCGAAGGUGUAGCCUCAAAGCUAGGAGUCGGAAGUGGUGCCGGAGUAGAUAUCGGUAGAUAAGCUCUACCACGAUGUGCCUGUCUCGGUGGCAUCUGCUAUGAAAGAUCAUGGUAAGUUUCUACCCAGGUCUAUCUAUUUCUAAAAGAAGGAACAAACCAGCAUAUCCUAAUUAUCCUUGCGACACAUUUUUGACUCGAAUUUUUUUUUGAAACAAGUCCCAUUCUAGCAUCGUAUAACAAUGAUCUGAUACCACAUUUGUGACACCCCCGAUCGUAGAUAACCAGAAAUGUCACGGUCGAUGUUCCCUGAUGGUCGACCCGAGGUUCUCGAAAUAAAUCCGAUCGCCUUAGACCAACAACCAAAGAACACAGACGCUCCUAUCGGAUAUUACCCUAGGCUUUUCAACCCUAUAAACAAAUAUUUGAUAGUUAGUUCGUCUCGGACAAGGACUAAUAUCAUAUGAAAACUCGUGAUUUAUAAACAUCUUUUAUACAUUAUUUAUUUACUUUAAACAUCUUACAAAGUGUUAUAGUUUAAUCCUACGGUCUAUCGCCCAACAACGUUUUAAGUAAAUAUACAUCAAAAGGUACGUUGCAAGGACAACAAAAUACUACCGCUGGUUGGCCGUUUCUUCCGUCCAAAAGAGUAAAGUGUCUCCCGCCUAAGGGUUACCUGCACACACUAAUGAGUCAUGAGCAACUAGUUUACUCAGUGAAUCUAGAAUCACAACACAAUCAAUGAUAUAUCAACAAUUAUGGAAUGCAUAAACAUGAUCAUGCAAGUACUAGUACUAUACUUUAGUAUAUCAAUCAUCAUUGUGAAUUCUUAUUUUAAACAUCACUUCCACAACACCCGCCCAUUACCAUACUCAUAUAAUACAAUAUAUAUCCUAGACCUGAAAAACCACUAAGGCUAACUGAGACUAGUGAGUUAGCAUCACCAUCAUUGUCGAAUGUCCGGUAUAAACAAUUCGACACUGCAUCGUCAUGCAGUACACGGUCUCCAGGGAGCUACCCCAUCAUCGUGUCUUCAUGACCUUGUUCCGUUCGCAGGACCAAGUCAUGGUAAUGCGGGGACUUUAGGGAUAGUGAAUAUAACAAGACUUCACAUGAUUUUACUUCCAUAAUUAUUCCAAAAUUAAUCCAUAAUUAAUCAUAAUUAAUCUUUAAUUAAUCCCAUAUCAAUCAUUAAUUAAUCUCAUAUUAAUCUUUAAUUAAUCCAAGAUUAAUCUUUAAUUAAACCAAGAUUAAUCCUUAAUCAAAACAAUGAUUAUUUCAUUAGUACUUGAGAACAAGUAUUAUGAUUAGGAUUAACCUCACUUUAACAUUUUGAUUAAUCUUUAAGUGUAAGUGUUACACUAAGUAAACACCAUACACUUCUUAAAGGAUUCAAAGACUUUACUAUCUAAUUGAGAUACUACAGUUUAAACUCAAUCAUGUACUCAUUCAUGAUCUAUCUCAUCUUCUGCCUAGACUCUCCUAAAGAACAGUCUUGAAACUGGCUUGGACAAGACUUGAGUUCCUCUUGAACAAAGCUGAAUGGACCAAGAGACUGAAUGGACAGGACUGGAUACUUCAAGCUUUACUCUACCUCUGACCAAGACAAACCAAAGGACUAGAUGGCCUCAGCUGAUCCUCUUCUCCAAGGUAAGCUUGCGGCUGGACUUCUGAUCUUUCUCAGAGCAACACUGAGCUAGGGUGGAAGAUUAAAUCACCAGCAAUUUUUCUUGAUUUAUUUUCCUGAUUUUUUUUACUGAUUUUUCUGUUCUUGUUCUGCUUUCUCUCUUUCUCUCUGAAAUUCUUUAGGUUUUUCUGUAAGUUUCAGAGCGUGGGAAGCAUCUGGAGGAGAGGUUUAUAUAUUUCAGAUGGUCUUUGGAUGAGUGUCCAGCUGAGGGACCAAAGAAGGGUAAGAAGAGACAGCUAGCAAGCUGCUACCGCAUCUGCACUAUGCUGUCCUUUCCCUCCCAUGAAACAGUUUCCAGCCAAUUAUAAUAAUCAGGAAGAGGGAGCAAGCACACAUGCAGCUUAUGAUUGUCAUGUGCCAUGUACUGAAGAAGCUAGAUAAGCAAGUAGGUGCAAUUCAUGUGAUUAAAUACUGAGCAAGCAGGCUGGUGGAAGACAUGAGUCUGGUCCAAAAUUAAUUAGGCAGCUGGUCGAUCAUUUUAAAUAAUUUUUCAACCAAAUAUUCCUUGUCUUUGGCUCUCGUCUUCCUCUCGGAAAAUCUCAUCCAGCUUAAUAAAAAUUCGACCAAAAUAUUUAAGACUCGACCAAACUAUCAAGUGAAGGUUUUUCGACCACAAGGCAGUCCCGUCGAAAAAUUAAUCUACCGAUAGAUUUUUAUUUUUAUUAAUCCUGAUCGAACCAACUAAAAACUGGUCGAACGAGAUUUUUCUUAUUGGCUCGUGAGGGUUAUUACAAUGAUCAUCUUGACUUCUGUAUGGAUAUGGUGUGGCUGCGAGCGGACACGAGUGACGCCUAAUUCUUAAGCUGUGUAACUUUUCUAUUAUCAAUGCAUCAACUAUUUUCUUACAAAAUGAU